rnacentral:pre_miRNA from 1 species
UAAUUAAGAAUGGCAGCCAUUGUUCACUCUCCCUAAAGGCUUCAACCAAUUUGUGGACUACACAAAGCUUGAUGCCUUAAGGGAGAGUGGAUAAAAGCUGUCAUGAUUUUUGCUA